rnacentral:rRNA from 1 species
GACGAACGCUGGCGGCGUGCUUAACACAUGCAAGUCGAACGGAAAGGCCCUGCUUGCAGGGUACUCGAGUGGCGAACGGGUGAGUAACACGUGGGUGAUCUGCCCUGCACUUCGGGAUAAGCCUGGGAAACUGGGUCUAAUACCGGAUAGGAGCCAUUUUUAGUGUGAUGGUUGGAAAGUUUUUUCGGUGUAGGAUGAGCUCGCGGCCUAUCAGCUUGUUGGUGGGGUAAUGGCCUACCAAGGCGGCGACGGGUAGCCGGCCUGAGAGGGUGGACGGCCACAUUGGGACUGAGAUACGGCCCAGACUCCUACGGGAGGCAGCAGUGGGGAAUAUUGCGCAAGGGGCGCAAGCCUGAUGCAGCGACGCCGCGGGGGGGAUGACGGCCUUCGGGUUGUAAACUCCUUUCGCUAGGGACGAAGCUUUUUGUGACGGUACCUAGAGAAGAAGCACCGGCUAACUACGUG